AGCUGAGCCCCAUUCAGACUGGAGUUCUGAAUCAGUGUCUCCCCCCGAUGGAGAGAAAAAUCCCUUCCUUUUUAGAAGAAGGAAAAGCUUCUUUCUACAGAGCAUGAGAGAGGAGACUGCUGCUUUGAAAGGAGAAGACUCAUUGGGUUUGGCUGGAAAAUUUAAGCAUUAAAUUGUCCCUCCACUACUGAGAGAUUGUGGAUCAGAAGCCAGCUGGAAAACUGAGGCAUAGCCAGACACAAGCCUCAAUACCAGAAUGGCAUCCUUCUGAAUUUCCAGUCAUAUUCAGACAUGAACAUCAUGCCGCAAGAGAUGAGGCGACCAGAACUGCACACAGCAUUCAAGGUGUGGGCAUACCAUUGAUUUAUAUAGUGGCUCCUUUCUGCCUUCUCCUGCCUCAAGGCCUAGCUGUGCCUGUGAAAGUCACUCCUGAUGCAAAGCAGAACAGCAAACAGUGAAGCAGAACUUUACUAUUAGCAAGAUAUAUGAUGAUGUUGCAAAAUUAAUGGAACUGCUGGCCUCGCCUGACACAAUCAUCUCAAAAUCUGUCAUUUAUAUUAUCUGAGCAUCGAGCUCUCUCUGUAACCCACUUAUACAUUAACCUUUAUACUGCUGGAAUUAUAUACAUAUAGUAUAUGCUUAUGCCUCCUGAAUAUUUUUACAUAACUAAUGCCUGGUUGCAUAAAAAGCUGCACAGUUCCUCAUUGCUUAAGUUAUUGUACUAUAUUAUAUCAUAAUAAAGGUCUAGUCAUCA